AUUGAACGCUGGCGGCAGGCCUAACACAUGCAAGUCGAGCGAGCGGCGGACGGGUGAGUAAUGUAUGGGGACUGCCCGAUAGAGGGGGAUAACUACUGGAAACGGUGGCUAAUACCGCAUACUAUCGGAUAACCCAGAUGGGAUUAGCUAGUCGGUGGGGUAAAGCCUCACCUAGGCGACGAUCCCUAGCUGGUCUGAGAGGAUGAUCAGCCACACGGGGACUGAGACACGGACCAGACUCCUACGGAGGCAGCAGUUGGGAAUAGUGCACAAUGGGCGCAAGCCUGAGGCAGCCAUGCCGCGUGGAUGAAGAAGGCUUUAGGGUCGUAAAGUACUUUCAGCGGGGAGGCGUUAUCCGCAGAAGAAGCCCCGGCUAACUCCGUGCUAGCCGCCGCGGUAAUAC
rnacentral:rRNA from 1 species